GAUGAACGCUAGCGGCAGGCUUAAUACAUGCAAGUCGAACGGGAUUCGGUGUAGCAAUACAUUGAUGAGAGUGGCGCACGGGUGCGUAACGCGUAUGCAACCUACCUUUAACAGGUGAAUAGCCCCGAGAAAUCGGGAUUAAUACACCGUAACAUUGCGGGAUGGCAUCAUUCUGCAAUUAAAGAUUAUCGGUUAAAGAAUGGGCAUGCGUGACAUUAGCUAGUUGGUGAGGUAACGGCUCACCAAGGCGACGAUGUCUAGGGGUCCGUGAGAGGGUUAGUCUCCCACACUGGUACUGAGACACGGA
rnacentral:rRNA from 1 species